GUCUUGAAACUCAAAGAAUUUGGCGGUGUUUUAGUCUAUUCAGAGGAAUCUGUCCCGUAAUCGAUAGUACACGAUGGAUUCAACUUAGUCUUGUUGUCAAUUUGUAUACCGCCGUCAUCAGAUUAUCUUUUUAGGGGUAAAUAAUCAGAAUACUUAGAGAGUAAAAUGUCAGGUCAAGGUGCAGUUUAUGAUUAAGAGGAGAUGGGUUACAAUAAGAUGAUUUAAACGGAUGGGACUAUGAAAAGGUCUAGGAAGGUGGAUUUGAUAGUAAUAAUAGUCAUGAUGUUAUGAUUAUAGCUCUAAAACAUGCACACAUCGCCCGUCGCUCUCGCUCUUAAAGUGAGAUAAGUCGUAACAAAGUAGACGUACUGGAAAGUGUGUCUAGAAAGAAUU
rnacentral:rRNA from 1 species